rnacentral:misc_RNA from 1 species
GUGAAUCAUCGAAUUUUUGAACGCAAAUUGCACUCUCUGGUAUUCCGGAAAGCAUGCCUGUUUGAGGGUCAGUUAAUUCAUCAUCGGUUUAAUUGCUGCCUUUCGUGGUCACGCGUCGGCUUUGGGUCGUCUUACCUUCGAAUAAGAGACUUAAAAUUUCUGCAUGCUUUUCGAACGUAU